rnacentral:rRNA from 1 species
GAUGAACGCUGGCGGCGUGCUUAACACAUGCAAGUCGAACGGAAAGGCUCCUGCUUGCAGGGGUACUCGAGUGGCGAACGGGUGAGUAACACGUGGGUGAUCUGCCCUGCACUUCGGGAUAAGCCUUGGAAACUGGGUCUAAUACCGGAUAGGACGAUGGUUUGGAUGCCAUUGUGGAAAGUUUUUUCGGUGUGGGAUGAGCUCGCGGCCUAUCAGCUUGUUGGUGGGGUAAUGGCCUACCAAGGCGUCGACGGGUAGCCGGCCUGAGAGGGUGUACGGCCACAUUGGGACUGAGAUACGGCCCAGACUCCUACGGGAGGCAGCAGUGGGGAAUAUUGCACAAUGGGCGCAAGCCUGAUGCAGCGACGCCGCGUGGGGGAUGACGGCCUUCGGGUUGUAAACUACUUUCGCUAGGGACGAAGCGCAAGUGACGGUACCUGGAGAAGAAGCACCGGCUAACUACGUG